rnacentral:tRNA from 1 species
GCCUUCGUGGUGUAAUGGUCAGCACACUGAGCCGGUAUUUCAUUGGUCCGUGGUUCGAUUCCCGGCGAAGGAA